AGUGAACGCUGGCGGUAGGCCUAACACAUGCAAGUCGAACGGCAGCACAGUAAGAGCUUGCUCGUACGGGUGGCGAGUGGCGGACGGGUGAGGAAUACAUCGGAACCUACUUUUUCGUGGGGGAUAACGUAGGGAAACUUACGCUAAUACCGCAUACGACCUACGGGGGAAAGCAGGGGAUCUUCGGACCUUUCGCGAUUGAAUGAGCCGAUGUCGGAUUAGCUAGUUGGCGGGGUAAAGGCCCAGCAAGGCGACGAUCCGUAGCUGGUCUGAGAGGAUGAUCAGCCACACUGGAAGGGAGACACGGUCCAGACUCCUAAGGGAGGCAGCAGUGGGGAAUAUUGGACAAUGGGCGCAAGCCUGAUCCAGACAUACCGCGUGGGUGAAGAAGGCCUUCGGGUUGUAAAGCCCUUUUGUUGGGAAAGAAAAGCAGCAGGUUAAUACCCAGCUGUUCUGACGGUACCCAAAGAAUAAGCACCGGCUAACUUCGUG
rnacentral:rRNA from 1 species